AGAGUUUGAUCCUGGCUCAGAUUGAACGCUGGCGGCAUGCCUUACACAUGCAAGUCGAACGGCAGCACGGGGGCAACCCUGGUGGCGAGUGGCGAACGGGUGAGUAAUACAUCGGAACGUGUCCUGUAGUGGGGGAUAGCCCGGCGAAAGCCGGAUUAAUACCGCAUACGCUUUACGGAGGAAAGGGGGGGAUUUUAGGACCUCCCGCUACAGGGGCGGCCGAUGGCAGAUUAGCUAGUUGGUGGGGUAAAGGCCUACCAAGGCGACGAUCUGUAGCUGGUUUGAGAGGACGACCAGCCACACUGGGACUGAGACACGGCCCAGACUCCUACGGGAGGCAGCAGUGGGGAAUUUUGGACAAUGGGGGCAACCCUGAUCCAGCAAUGCCGCGUGUGUGAAGAAGGCCUUCGGGUUGUAAAGCACUUUUGUCCGGAAAGAAAACGCCGUGGUUAAUACCCGUGGCGGAUGACGGUACCGAAGAAAAA
rnacentral:rRNA from 1 species